AGAGUUUGAUCCUGGCUCAGGACGAACGCUGGCGGCGUGCUUAACACAUGCAAGUCGAACGGAAAGGCCCUUCGGGGUACUCGAGUGGCGAACGGGUGAGUAACACGUGGGUGAUCUGCCCUGCACUUUGGGAUAAGCCUGGGAAACUGGGUCUAAUACCGAAUAUGACCAUGCACUUCCUGGUGUGUGGUGGAAAGCUUUUGCGGUGUGGGAUGGGCCCGCGGCCUAUCAGCUUGUUGGUGGGGUAAUGGCCUACCAAGGCGACGACGGGUAGCCGGCCUGAGAGGGUGACCGGCCACACUGGGACUGAGAUACGGCUCAGACUCCUACGGGAGGCAGCAGUGGGGAAUAUUGCACAAUGGGCGCAAGCCUGAUGCAGCGACGCCGCGUGAGGGAUGACGGCCUUCGGGUUGUAAACCUCUUUCAGCACAGACGAAGCGCAAGUGACGGUAUGUGCAGAAGAAGGACCGGCCAACUACGUGCCAGCAGCCGCGGUAAUACGUAGGGUCCGAGCGUUGUCCGGAAUUACUGGGCGUAAAGAGCUCGUAGGUGGUUUGUCGCGUUGUUCGUGAAAACUCACAGCUUAACUGUGGGCGUGCGGGCGAUGCGGGCAGACUUGAGUACUGCAGGGGAGACUGGAAUUCCUGGUGUAGCGGUGGAAUGCGCAGAUAUCAGGAGGAACACCGGUGGCGAAGGCGGGUCUCUGGGCAGCAACUGACGCUGAGGAGCGAAAGCGUGGGGAGCGAACAGGAUUAGAUACCCUGGUAGUCC
rnacentral:rRNA from 1 species